AGCGAGUAUAAAAGAGGAUCCUUUUUGUAGAACAGUCAAACAUUAAUUUCUCUUUACUCAAUUUGGAUCCAGAAGCAGAUAGCCUUAUUCAAAGCCAUGUCUGGAGUCAAAGGAGGUCACAAGGAUCAACCAAAAGAUGUUGGUCAUUAUGAGAAGCACCACCACCAUCAUCAUGCGGACAAACAGAGUAAGUUAUUCACUAUGAAAAAUAAAUAAAUAGAAAAAGGACUUGCAUUCAAACUUUUUCUAAAGCUGAUACAUUCGCACCUUGCAGAUAAAUCUUUCAGUUUUGAAUGUAUUUUGCUUUUUGAGCAAAGAUGUCAAAUAUGUCCCUUACAUUUUACAAUCCCCCUUUGUUGUGAAGGUUUGGCUCUGUCAUAGCUAUGGCUACGAUGUUUGUUUAUGGCCCACCAUAUUGUUUGCAGAUGGAGAUACUUUGUAGUUCCAUACUAAUUGCUGGACUUGAAACGUUAAUUCCUAUUGGACAGCGGGCUUUAUGCAUUUGAAUUUGAACAUCACAACAAGGUCAUUCAGUAAAAUGAAUGCCUUGCCCGCUCUGAACAAAUUUGGCUAUGGCCAUUGGAAUAUUUAAUGCAAUGCAUUAAAUACUCAGGGUGUCCGUACUGCUUGACUGGGGGCUUUUACGUUCUUUAAAUUAGUGUUUUUAAUUGGCUCAGAUUAUCAUUUCAAUCACAAAGCAAGAAUGACAACAGUAAUGGGAUGAGGUUAGCACUUCAAAACACCCCUAGAAUGAUCUCUGGUGUUUACUACUCUAAAUUGGAGAAGCAUUCAAGACAACACCCUUAUAUUUCGCAGCCGUUAAUGGUAUAUAUUGAUUAUGGGUCUGGGGAAAAUGGUAAAAUAAUUUCCAUCUGCUAUUAGUUAUCCCUGGUACAGUCAUGUUUCAAUAUUGGUAAGAGAAAAAAUUAGACAAAUACAAAUAUACAUUUUAAAUAUAAAAAAGACAAGAGUUAAGCAUUAACAUUCAUUAAAUUUCUGAUUAUUUCAUUGUCUUUGUAACGCAGACUUGGAAAGCAUGGUUUGUUAAUUUUGUAGAAGCAGAAAAAUGUGAAUGACUUGUUAUUUUUUAUUAUUUGAGUUUAUUAGUUUGUGCAUGUAUUUCAAUGUCUUAUCUGUACAACGCAUUUCAAAAAAAGUAUGGAGUGCAAUGAAAAAUGAAAAAAGCGUGGAUUGCAAUAUCCAAGAACACGUGCAGGAGAAUAGAGUUAAAUCAAUACUUCCAGACAAUUCAUGUAAAAUGGAGACUAUACCCUGAUAUGUUUACAAGUACACGUUAGUUUGUUAAUACAGAUUACUACUAAUUUGUAUAUAUUUGACUAGUGAUGUGAGUUUGCUAAUAAUAUAUCAACACCAAGACGUGCUACAAAUAAUAAAGAUCAUUGAAGAUUAACAAAUAUCCCGUUUAUGGUUGAAUGAAAAUAAAUGCACAUGUAAAUCUGUAUUUUAAUAUUUAUACUUUUUAUUAAAUGUUUUAAUACUUAUCCAACACAUUAUAUUAAUGGAAUCUUCUUCGUAUACAUAAACACAAUACCGGACACAUUGCAUACUUACAGAGUAUUAAAACUUAUUUAGCCAAAAUCUUCUAUAUUAAUAUUCAUGUCACAUUUUCAAAGUUGUGUUAGCACGACUAAUUAAAUCUUCUUCCAAUGGAUUUACUCAGUAAAUGUAUCCACAUAAAUAAAAAGAGGAAUAAGAAAAUAAUACAAAAAAAACCUCCAUACUCAACUUAACAUUACAAACAAAAGCCACGUAACAAUCGUGGUCAUAGUACAAUCAAUCUAUCCUUCAAACCAGCUUGAUCCUCGGUGGGGCAUACCAGGAGACUAUAGAAAUCCCAUGUCAUCAGCAGCCCUACCUUCAUAAGAGAAUAACACAAAAUAGCUAUAUUGAGGAUCCAAUAUUUGCAUACUUACAGAGUAUUAAAACUUAUUUAGCCAAAAUCUUCUAUAUUAUUAUUCAUGUCACAUUUUCAAAGUUGUGUUAGCACGACUAAUUAAAUCUUCUUCCAAUGGAUUUACUCAGUAAAUGUAUCCACAUAAAUAAAAAGAGGAAUAAGAAAAUAAUACAAAAAAAACCUCCAUACUCAACUUAACAUUACAAACAAAAGCCACGUAACAAUCGUGGUCAUAGUACAAUCAAUCUAUCCUUCAAACCAGCUUGAUCCUCGGUGGGGCAUACCAGGAGACUAUAGAAAUCCCAUGUCAUCAGCAGCCCUACCUUCAUAAGAGAAUAACACAAAAUAGCUAUAUUGAGGAUCCAAUAUUUGAAAUAAGGUGUAUAAGAGAAAUUAACUAUUUUCUAUUUUUUGUAACCAAAGAUCAUAUCUAUGUUGUUAUCCUAUAACUGUUGCCCUUUAACUAUUUAAAAUUUCAAUUGUUCUUUAACUAUAGGCCAAACUGGAACUAGCGAAAAGUUUCCAAUAUCUUGCAAUAGUAAUCUUAGAGGCUACUAAUAUGUGAAUUACGAAGGGAGCUAAAUUGCCACAUAGUUGUCUAAUAUUUAAUUGAAGGAGAAAUAUGAAGGAGAACGAUAAAUUUAUAGAAGAUAAAAUUUUAGUCUUGUGUAACAUCAUCUUCCAAAAUAGCUGAAGUGGACCACAAUCCCACCAUAUGUGUAGAUAGUCUCCUCUUUCUAUACUGCAUUGCCAACAUCUAUGAUCUUGACUAUUGAUAAAUUUACCCGUUCUGCUAGGAACCAUAUACCAUCUGUUUGCGAGUUUGUUUGGCAUUCUACUAACUUAAGGCAAUGAAUAUUUUUACAAACUGAGUAUAAGGCCUCUCUCCAUUGUUCGCAACUAAUUUGGACACUUAGGUCAGCUUGCCAUUUAUUAAUAAUUGCUACUGUAGGUUUGUCGGGGUCUCGACAAAAAUUGUAAACAGUCAGCUAUUCAUUUUUUUGACGAUAUUUUUCCAAGCCAAAUUAUGUUAUUCGAUUUUUCUCUAGAAACAUAUUCCUGACAAAAACCUUUUAACCAAAAGUAAUUAAAAACUUCCUUUCCAUAUAAUUUAUAUUUCAAAUUUAACGACGGAAAAUCAGUCCAGGAAUUAUUAUUUAUUAGAUUAUCUUUUCUUACCAGCCCUCCUUCCGACCACUUAUUUAGCUUUAUAUCUGGAAUACAGUAUGCAAGAUAAGCCAGUGGAAGAGAGGGUAUUAACUUGUUAUACAAAUUAAUUUCUUUUCUGUUUUUCGCCCACUCAGUUAAAAUACCAUUAAGUGUGACACUGUUAGAACUAUAUGUUAGUGAACUGACAUAUUUUGGCUGAAUUAUCCAAAAUAAGGGUCCCUAUUCCAUUGAGGGCACUUCAACUUGAGUUAAAUCCUGUUCAAUUUUAUACCAAAUUUCCACCCUAGAGCUCUCUAAUUGAGUGUUAAAGGCAUGCGAUAAACUACAAGCCUUUUGAUUGUCUUUCAAGAUAGUGAUCCCUAAUCCUCCUAAUUUAACUUUUAAAGAUAAGCGCUUCAAAUUUAUUCUCAGAGUUUUGCCCCGCCAGAUGUAUUUAUUAAUGAGAGAUUGUGCUAAUUUCACCCAGCUAUCUGGACAUGGCCAUUCAAAAAAGAUAUAGCCAUUUUGGCAUAAUAUAAGAUUUUACUGUAUUAUUUAAACUAUGAUGAUAUAUGAUUGAAAUUAUUUUUGUAUUUUUAUGAAGUUGUGUUUGUCAUUAAUAGACACAGUGGUACCUGUGGUACCUCAGCCAACUCCAUGCCAGCCAGACCAAACUCAGCCAGCUGUGAGCCAACCAGCCCCGUGUCAGCCAGCUGUGAGCCAACCAACCCAGUAUCAGCCAGCUGUGAGCCAACCAACCCCGUGUCAGCCAGCUGUGAGCCAACCAACCCCGUGUCAGCCAGCUGUGAGCCAACCAACCCCUUAUCAGCCAGCUGUGAGCCAACCAACCCCGUGUCAGCCAGCUGUGAGCCAACCAGCCCAGUAUCAGCCAGCUGUGAGCAAACCAACCCCGUGUCAGCCAGCCGUGAGCCAACCAACCCAGUAUCAGCCAGCUGUGAGCCAACCAGCCAGUCAAGUGAAGUCAGGAUGCAAGAAAUAAGAAUUGAAGAAGGUCACAAAGAGGCUCAUGCUUAAAAAAAAUGCAUGGCAGUAUAUUGCUUAUUUAAUGAUUAAAUCUAUAUAAUCUUUGCUAAAACUAUCAAAUUACCUCAAUCAUAAUAAAUUAAUUUGAUUAAUGCAAC
rnacentral:lncRNA from 1 species